rnacentral:rRNA from 1 species
GACGAACGCUGGCGGCGUGCCUAAUACAUGCGAGUUGAGCGAUGAAGAUUGGUGCUUGCACCAAUUUGAAGAGCAGCGAACGGGUGAGUAACGCGUGGGGAAUCUGCCUUUGAGCGGGGGACAACAUUUGGAAACGAAUGCUAAUACCGCAUAACAACUUUAAACAUAAGUUUUAAGUUUGAAAGAUGCAAUUGCAUCACUCAAAGAUGAUCCCGCGUUGUAUUAGCUAGUUGGUGAGGUAAAGGCUCACCAAGGCGAUGAUACAUGGCCGACCUGAGAGGGUGAUCGGCCACAUUGGGACUGAGACACGGCCCAAACUCCUACGGGAGGCAGCAGUAGGGAAUCUUCGGCAAGGGACGAAAGUCUGACCGAGCAACGCCGCGUGAGUGAAGAAGGGUGUCGGAUCGUAAAACUCUGUUGGUAGAGAAGAACGUUGGUGAGAGUGGAAAGCUCAUCAAGUGACGGUAACUACCCAGAAAGGGACGGCUAACUACGUG